GACCAGUUUCUUGGGCAGCUCUCUGAAAAGCUGGAAUGUUGGAGGCAUGCUCCAUUCUUUUCUCCCAGAGGAAAAAGAUGUGAAGAGGCAUUCUGUCUUGGCACUGAGCUGUGCUAACUUGGGGGAGAGGCUGACACACAUUGACCUUGCUAGGUUGUAGAGGCAUGUUCUAUCAUCUUUAUUAAGAAGGUGUUUCACUCUUGUUGGCCAGGCUGAAAUGCAAUGGCACGAUCUCGGCUCACUGCAACCUCUGUCUCCCGGGUUCAAGCGACUCUCCUGCCUCAGCCUCCCGAGUAGCUGGAAUUACAGGCAUGUGCCACCACACCCAGCUAAUUUUCCAUUUUUAGUAGGGACGGGGUUUUACCAUGUUGGUCAGGCUGGUCUUGAACUCCUGACCUCAGGUGAUCUGCCUGCCUUGGUCUCCUAAAGUGCUGGGAUUACAAGCAUGAACCGCUGUGUCUGGCCCAUUUUUCUUAUUCUUAAACAUCCUACUAAACAUUUUGGAGCUAGUUGUAUUGGGAGGUUUAUUUUCUAUGUGGAUGGAGCAGUUUUAAAAAGCUGAAAUAAGUGAAAUCUUCCAAGUGAUUUAAAAAAUUUUUAAGCCCAUGUUUCCACCUACUAAAAUUCAAAAAUAUUUACUAUAGAAGAUGACUAGUCUUCUUUAUGACAGUUAUUUUGAUUUAAAAGGAAUUAAAAGGAUAUAACUUUUCUUGAAACAUUUGCACUUAUUCUUAAUCAUGCUGUCAAUUCAUUAUAUGAUUUUGGAUUACUUGAUUAAUGUUUCUAUUUCUUCUCCAUUAAUACUAAUUACUCCUAAUAAUU
rnacentral:lncRNA from 1 species